ACUUAAGUAGUUUAUAUAAAACUUCGGAUUGUGGUGUCGAUAAAAUACUUUUGUAUCUUAGGUU
rnacentral:tRNA from 1 species